ACGGGAGGCAGCAGUGGGGGAUAUUGCACAAUGGGCGAAAGCCUGAUGCAGCGACGCCGCGUGAGGGAAGACGGUCCUCUGGAUUGUAAACCUCUGUCUUCGGGGACGAUAAUGACGGUACCCGAGGAGGAAGCCACGGCUAACUACGUGCCAGCAGCCGCGGUAAUACGUAGGUGGCAAGCGUUGUCCGGAAUUACUGGGUGUAAAGGGAGCGUAGGCGGGUGAACAAGUUGAAUGUGAAAUCGAUCGGCUUAACUGGUCGAUGCGUUCAAAACUGUACAUCUUGAGUGAAGUAGAGGCAGGCGGAAUUCCUAGUGUAGCGGUGAAAUGCGUAGAUAUUAGGAGGAACACCAGUGGCGAAGGCGGCCUGCUGGGCUUUUACUGACGCUGAGGCUCGAAAGUGUGGGGAGCAAACAGGAUUAGAUACCCUGGUA
rnacentral:rRNA from 2 species